UAGAGUACACACUGUUAGAAUCUGGUAUAGUCACACAGUUAUUGAAUUCUCGGUAUUAAGUUGCUACCACUUGGUAUUAAAAUUAUACCGGACAGUAAAAAUUCGCUACAGGGUCAUAUAUGAAUGCCUGUUGGUAUUAUUUUAAUACCAAAUUUCUAAGAGAGCAGCUCUGAACAUAAGUAAGCACCUAGUUUUCAUACAAAUCAUGUUAAGUCGAGGCAUAAUAUGAGUUAUGAAAUAUGCAUUUGACACACCUGCCUGCACAACCAGGUAGAUGUUGCAGAAUAAUCCUUUUUUGAAAGGCCCGAAAGGCCAAGGUUAGAUUAAAAGUAUGGAAGUGUAUUUUUUACUCGGCUCAUUCCUUCUAUUUUGUGUUUUAUUUACCCUACUUAAGUGAUCCCUGGAUUCCAGUUUCUUUCUAAUAUUCCACUUCAGGGUCCAUUCCAAAAAGGUGAAGGGUAAAUAUUUAAAACAUGUAACAGAGUACUGGCAGUUGGAAAAAAAAUAUUAAAAAGAACGAGGACAAAUGAAAAACACACCAGUCACUCGUUUGCAUCCAGAUACAUUCAUUCAUUUCGGAUUUUAGUAACUAAACAAAGUCUAAAAUGCUUUCAAAAUUCACAAUUUUUUGCGUCCUCGUCGUAUUUGCUCAACCAAGCCACGGAUUAAUCAAGGUGUACGAAGACAUCAAUUUUGGUGGUGCAUCCCGAGUCUUACCACCGUUCAAAGCUUGUCUGGAAGUGAACAAUCUGUGGAGAAAUCGGAUCUCAUCCGUGAAUACGGGGGGAGGCUGUGUCAUCCUUUGCGAACAAGUCGGAUGUCGUGGGCACUGCGAGAAAUUGUAUCCAGGAACUGCCAGUCACAAUAAUCUUGAAGUAUUAGGUCUAAACGAUAAGGUCUUAUCGUACAAACAGUGCGAGAGUAGAAAUGAGAACAGAAUUCCAGCGUAAAGCCAUAUGUAAUUUUAUUAGAAUUUUUAUUGAGACUUGUUAAAUCAGUUGUAUCUCGUUUUUUUAGAAAUUAAAUAAUUUUAGGUAUUUAUUUAUUAUGUUUUAUUUACUUAAAUAACAGGCAACAUUAAGUACGCAGUGAAUAAAAAUGUUGAAAUAAGCAGAACUGAGACAAAUA